AUGAUGGUUAAAGUGCGCCUUCCAAAUAAUCAUCUUUCCAUGGGAUGGUUGGACUACUAUGACUUAAAAUACAAUGUUGCUGUUAUCAGCAUCAUGGCCUUCCAUGUUUUUCGCGCAGCAUUUUUAGAUCAUCAGCGGCAAUUUGAGUCUCAUAGUGAAGUAGUUGCUGUUGGGCGCUGCUUCGACUCAGGCAAAUUAAUUGGCACAACUGGGAUGUUGACUGACAAUGGGAAGAGAAUUUACCGCGAGGAGCUUGCGAUCUCCACAUGUGAAAUCACUAUGACUGGAGUUGGAGGGCCCCUUGUUAAUUUUAAUGGUGACUUUGUCGGGAUGAACUUUUAUUCUAAGGAAGAGACUCCGUUCCUACCAAGGAAUAAAAUUCUUGAACUUCUGAUGCAUUUUAGGAGAACACCCCCGUGCUGGGACACAAGUAAGAAAAGAGGUAGUAAAACUGAAAGAGGCGCAAGCAAGGCACGAGUAUCUCCUGAAUCUCACAACUCAAGGCAGGAGAUGAAAAAUAAAAAGCAGGAACCUUCCAUAUGUACUAUAUGUGACCCAGAACUUAAUUCAGGACUCGAGGAUACAAUUCUAGAGAGUCUGCCUUCUAUUCGUCGGUGGCCGUAUGACUGGGGUUUCGUAUCCUUGGAUGCUAGAAGAGAUAAGUUUAGGUCUCGUGGUUACCCCUUACCAGUUUUGGAGGACAAUGGCAAGCGUCUGCGUUAUAGUUUUGAGGAGGAAUUUAGUGAAGAUAUCUGGAACAAAGUCACGAAAAGAGCAGCUUCAAAUAUGUCUCGAGUUGUUGUAGCACUUGCUUCAUUCAGAGGAGAAGCGAGGCUUUUUGCUUGCACAGGUGUAUUCAUAGACUGCAAUCGGUUCACCACAAGAGUUCUGACCUCAGGAAAUUUGAUUAGAAGUAAUGACGAUGAAAGCAAGGUUGCUGAUAACUUAAAGAUUGAAGUGCACCUUCCAGAUAAGCGACAUGUCCCAGGGAUGUUGCAACAUUACGAUCUGCAUUAUAAUGUCGCCGUCAUCAUCAUAAAUAAAUUUCGCUGUACUCGGACAGCAAUUAUUGACAAUAAGGUGAAAACUGGCACUCAUUCGGAGGUAUUAGCCAUAGGGCGUGUCUAUGAAUCAGGAAAAUUAAUGGCUGCAAGUGGGGUAGUGAUCAACAAAGAAAAUGAACUUGACUGUAAAGAUCUUAGGAUCUCCACUUGUCAAAUCACAAAGGCUGGGAUUGGAGGCCCUCUUAUAGAUUCUAAUGCGAACUUUAUUGGGAUGAACUUCUAUGGCUUGGAAGAAACUCCCUACACACCACGGGAUACAAUUCUGAAACUCUUGGAGAAUUUUGAUGCAGAAGGGACUGCUGACAAUAUUACAACAGUUCCUAGCCCAAACAGAUGGCAUGUGCCUAAGCCAUAUUGGUGCUAUCCUUCGUGGCAUGAACGAAAGGAGGGAACAAAUUUACUGGAAUUUCUUGAUCAAGAAUUCCGCUAUGACUAA
rnacentral:rRNA from 1 species